rnacentral:rRNA from 1 species
UACAGAGGGGGCAAGCGUUGUUCGGAAUUACUGGGCGUAAAGGGCGCGUAGGCGGCCUGUUAAGUCGAACGUGAAAUCCCCGGGCUCAACCCGGGAACUGCGUCCGAUAUUGGCAGGCUUGAAUUCGGGAGAGGGAUGCGGAAUUCCAGGUGUAGCGGUGAAAUGCGUAGAUAUCUGGAGGAACACCGGUGGCGAAGGCGGCAUCCUGGACCGAGAUUGACGCUGAGGCGCGAAAGCCAGGGGAGCAAACGGG